CCGACCUUAGCUCAGUGGCAGAGCACCCCUUAGAGAUUACUCUUUUUGAUUGGUCGCCUGUUCGAACCAGGCAGGUCGGC
rnacentral:tRNA from 1 species